UGCAAUUUGCGUCCCUGUGGUAUGUCCCAAACAUCAAUUUGAGCCCCUAAAAAUAAUUUUUUUCAUUUUGAGCCCCUGUGGUAUUAAUUUCAUAACAGUAUGAGUCCCUGCCGUCAGUCUUCCGUCAGUUUGACCGUUUGCCAGUUGUGAAAAGUCCAUAAUACCCCCACCCUUUAAUAUCUAUACUUAAAGCAGACCAGUUUCAUUAUCAUCAUCAACAGUCGCUCCCAACUCCCAAUAUCAUCAUCAUCAACAGCUCUCCUCUCCCAACUCCCCAGAUCAUCAUCAUCAUCUUCAUCGAAGAGAUCAACUUCAUCUUCAUCGAACAGAUCAGGUCAUCUUCAUCAUCUUCAUCGAACAUCGAACGGAUCAUCUUCAUCUUCAUCGAACAGAUCAGUUUCGGAUUGAAUGUGUUCCUCAAUGGCUGCGGACGUAAAGAUACUACGCAAAACACCAACUACGAAGGCGAGAACACUUGACAACCUCCUAGAAGAUGGCGCGGUGCACAUAAGAAAGUGAUUGAUAUGAAUUAAUACAACCCCAGUGGCAGAUACGUAAUUAGCGAGCUCUGGAAUUUCAUAUCUACCACUUGGGUUAUAUUCAUUCAUAUGAAUGAAUAUAACCCCAGUGGCAGAUAUGUAAUUAUCGAGCUCUGGAAUUUCAUAUCUACCACUUGGGUUAUGUUCAUUCAUAUGAAUGAAUUAUAUUCAUUCAUAUGAAUGAAUAUAACCCAGUGGCAGAUAUGUAAUUAGCGAGCUCUGGAAUUUCAUAUCUGCCACUGGGGUUAUAUUCAUUCAUAUCUGCUACAUUCCGAAGUGCACCCGUCAGUAAAGAUCCACAAUUGCUUGUGGAUCUUUGACGUUUUGUCUCUGUUUUGUAUGUUUCGGUCUUUUGUUAUCGAGUCUGUACGUUACGGUCUUUUGUUAUCGAGAAUU
rnacentral:lncRNA from 1 species